GAUGAACGCUGGCGGCGUGCCUAAUACAUGCAAUUCGAGCGAACAGACGAGGAGCUUGCUCCUCUCACGUUAGCGGCGGACGGUUGAUUAACACGUGGAUAACCUACCUAUAUGACUGGGAUAACUUCGGGAAACCUGAUCUAAUACCGGCUAAUAUAUUGAACCUCAUGGUUCAGUAGUACAAUAUGGUUUUGCUGUCAUUUUUAGAUAUAUCCGAGCCGCAUUAUCUAGUCGGUAAGGUAACGGCUUACCAAGGCAGUGAUUCGCAGCCGACCUAAGAGGAUGAUAGGACACACUGGAACUGAGACACGGUCGAGAAUCCUAAGGGAGGCAGCAGUAGGGAAUCGAACGCACUGGGCGAAAGCAUGCCGGAGCAAAGCCGCGCGAGCGAGGAAGGCCCUCGGAUCGUAAGACUCUGUUAUUAGGGAAGAACAAAUGUGUAAGAAACUAUGCACGUCUUGACGGUACCUAGUCAGAAAGCCACGGCUAACUCCGUG
rnacentral:rRNA from 1 species